rnacentral:tRNA from 1 species
GAGACGUAUGAACACCUAGACCUGCUAACUCAAGCAACUGUGGUUAAAAUCCACAGGUCUCUUA